GACGAACGCUGGCGGCGUGCUUAACACAUGCCAGUCGAACGGAAAGGCCCUGCUUUUGUGGGGUGCUCGAGUGGCGAACGGGUGAGUAACACGUGAGUAACCUGCCCUUGACUUUGGGAUAACUUCAGGAAACUGGGGCUAAUACCGGAUAGGAGCUCCUGCUGCAUGGUGGGGGUUGGAAAGUUUCGGCGGUUGGGGAUGGACUCGCGGCUUAUCAGCUUGUUGGUGGGGUAGUGGCUUACCAAGGCUUUGACGGGUAGCCGGCCUGAGAGGGUGACCGGCAAAAUGGGGAAAGAGAUGAGGGCGAGAGGAGUAAGGGAGGAAGAAGGGGGGAAUAGGGAAAAAUGGGAGGAAGAGUGAUGGAGGAACGCGGGGGGAGGGAGGAGGGAGUGAGGGUGGUGAAAAGAUAAAGACUGUGAAGAAGCGUGAGUGAAGGUAAUGUGGAAAGAAGAACAGGAUAGAGAAGUG
rnacentral:rRNA from 1 species